AUCGAACGCUGGCGGCAGGCUUAACACAUGCAAGUCGAGCGCCCCGCCAGGGGAGCGGCAGACGGGAGAGUAACACGUGGGAACAUACCUUUUGGUUCGGAACAACUUAGGGAAACUUCAGCUAAUACCGGAUAACCCCUUACGGGGAAAGAUUUAUCGCCGAAAGAUUGGCCCGCGUCUGAUUAGCUAGUUUGUGAGGUAACGGCUCACCAAGGCGACGAUCAGUAGUUGGUCUGAGAGGAUGAUCAGCCUCACUGGGACUGAGACACGGCCCAGACUCCUACGGGAGGCAGCAGUGGGGAAUAUUGGACAAUGGGGGAAACCCUGAUCCAGCCAUGCCGCGUGAGUGAUGAAGGCAUGAGGGUUGUAAAGCUCUUUUGACCGGGAAGAUAAUGACGGUACCGGGAGAAUAAGCCCCGGCUAACUUCGUG
rnacentral:rRNA from 1 species